rnacentral:rRNA from 1 species
UACGAGGGGGGCAAGCGUUGUUCGGAAUUAUUGGGCGUAAAGGGCGCGUAGGCGGUUUGGCAAGUUUGGUGUGAAAUCUUCGGGCUCAACUCGAAGUCUGCAUCGAAAACUGCCGGGCUUGAGUAUGGGAGAGGUGAGUGGAAUUUCCGGUGUAGCGGUGAAAUGCGUAGAUAUCGGAAGGAACACCUGUGGCGAAAGCGGCUCACUGGACCAUAACUGACGCUGAUGCACGAAAGCUAGGGGAG